GUUUGCCGCUUCUGCUGUUGAGUUGUGAAGAGCUAGCCGGCCCUCCCCACUGGCCACCAUGUCCGCCCAGGCGCAGAUGCGGGCCCUGUUGGACCAGCUCAUGGGCACGGCUCGGGACGGUGAGUCUGAGCAGCGGUCCAGGCUCUGGGCGGGGUGGGAGUAAGGCGAGGCUGCCUGGAAGCCUGAGGUGAGGGCCGUGACAGCGUGCGCCUGCGCGGGGCGCCAUUUCCCUCCCCUGCUUGCGGACCCCAGGCUCGGGGCCUUUGCCUUUGUCUGAUCUGCUUGGCCUGCCGCGGCCGUCGUGUUCUACUGGUCUGGGCUGCCUCCUUCCUGAGAGUCCGAUCCGACGGUGGGGACUUUGUCCCCUUUUCGUUUUCUGUCAUGCGAAUUCCUCUUGGUCCGCACCGCGGUUCGGCGCCGCCGGGCAUACUGGAGCGUCGGCGAAGGGCUGGAACCUGCGUGGGCUCCGGGGUGCUGGCUGCCGGGUGGCGGAAUUUCUCUGAUACUCCUCGGAGGAGAGGCGAUUCCCCGAAGGAGCUGGACGGGUUUCGAAAACCCGGGCGAGCUUGCUCCAUACGGUUACUACAAGGGGAGCCACAAAUGAGCAUUUCUAACGUUCAGUGUAUCUUUGCCUGCCUACAUCAAUCUGCAAGGGAGUUGCAGAAAAGCCUCAUGUUCAUCGAGCCGUGAGUCACAACCAAUUUCUAAGCUGUUAUAACAAAAAAGUGUUUGCUUUUUUCCCCCACAAGUAACUUUAAAAGUGUAGUUUAGCAAGAAAACAUUUUCAGUAAAAAGACACUACAUUAAUCCUG
rnacentral:lncRNA from 1 species